rnacentral:rRNA from 1 species
GCUUAGCCCUAAAUCCCGAUGCUUACCCUACCAAACGAUCCGCCCGAGAACUACGAGCACAAACGCUUAAAACUCUAAGGACUUGGCGGUGCCCCAAACCCACCUAGAGGAGCCUGUUCUAUAAUCGAUAACCCACGAUACACCCGACCACUCCUUGCCAAGGCAGCCUACAUACCGCCGUCGCCAGCUCACCUCCUUUGAAAGCAAAACAGUGAGCACAACAGCCUACUCAACCCGCUAGCAAGACAGGUCAAGGUAUAGCCCAUGGAGUGGAAGAAAUGGGCUACAUUUUCUAACAUAGAAGAGCACGGAAGGGAGUGUGAAACCACUCCCAGAAGGCGGAUUUAGCAGUAAAGCGAACAAUAAAGCCUGCUUUAAGUUGGCCCUGAGGC